UUGAAUGAACUUGGUGUGGUUGUUGCUGGCCCCCUUGGGGGCAUGUGCACACUCGCCAUCCUCAUCUCUCCACCUGUGCACCUUUUGUAGACCUGGAUUGACUUUCCGAGGUAACUCGGUCGGGAAGAUUGUUGCGCUCUGUGAGCCGGCUUUCUUUGCAUAUCUAGGCCUAUGUUUUUCAUAUACCCCAUAGAAUGUAACAGAAUGUAUCAUUGGGCCCUUGUUGCCUAUAAACCAUAUA
rnacentral:misc_RNA from 1 species